rnacentral:rRNA from 1 species
UACGUAGGGUGCGAGCGUUGUCCGGAAUUAUUGGGCGUAAAGAGCUCGUAGGCGGUGUGUCACGUCGGCCGUGAAAACCUGCAGCUUAACUGUGGGCGUGCGGUCGAUACGGGCAUCACUGGAGUUCGGCAGGGGAGACUGGAAUUCCUGGUGUAGCGGUGAAAUGCGCAGAUAUCAGGAGGAACACCGGUGGCGAAGGCGGUUCUCUGGGCAUGAUCUGACGCUGAGGAGCGAAAGUGUGGGGAGCGAACAGG